rnacentral:lncRNA from 1 species
CAACUUAUUUAAUUUGAUGAUUCCAUCUCUCUUUCUUUAACUCUCUCUCCUAAAUUUCGCAGCUGCCUGUCUUCUCUCUCACAUAUCCUCUUUCCUUUUAUAUUCUAUCACUUUCAACCUCCAUUUUCCCUCUGCAAGAAAAUCUGCGGGUAAGGCUCCGUCCUUCACCUCCUUCCUUCUUCUAGAUCUGGUUAUGGCCUUCUGCCUCUCUCUUUCUUCUAGAUUCGACUCCAACUUUCUCUUCCCUAUCUUUUUUUCCUUCAUCGACGUGCCUGUCCUGCCGCUAGAUUCUGGUGGUGGCGCGAUUCCAGAAAUGCGGCAAUCUGCGGAUGGCUAUGGGCGGAUGAGCAUGACCGAAGUUGAGUGAAAAUCAUGUUAAUAGGUUUUUGCUGUGGUUUUUGAACCUCUAUUGCCCAAUUAGGGAUUGUGAAAUGGAAGAAUUACAAUUAGAAAUUUACAAGAGCAAUUGAGUUUUCUUUUUCUUUUUAUUUACAAGAGCAAUUUUCGUUUAUGUAAUAAGAGUUGAGAUUUCGGGUAUGUAUUUAUUGUGGGCGUUUUUUUGGUUUAUUUUGGCUAUUUUUGAUAGGUAAAAGAUGUGGCCACAAUUAUGCACUGGAAGCUCUUUUAGGAAAAUUGGUAUGAAGCCAAUCUGCAGAGUGAUGGGGUUUCUCUGUAUCCAUGAUCUGCCAGUAAUAAUAAUUACUUUUGUGGAAAGAAAAUGAGUGCUAAAAAUCCUUUUCCUUUUUUUUGUGUUGGAGAUUGAUAAGUAUUUCACCAAAAUGCAGAAACAAAAUUCUCAUGACUAUCUCUGCGAGUACGUUAUACUAUAGAUUGCGAUAAUAUUUCGAGAUAUGGAUAAUUCUAUGAUGUAUCAAUUACGAUAGCAAGUUAAAAACUUACUAGGAAAAAUAACAAAAGUGAUACCAAAUCAUGGAGGACCGCUACCAAAAUCUUAAAUUUCUGCGCAUCUAAUAUUAUGUAAUCACCAAAUUUUGUAAUCGAGCAACCGAAGUUGAGUGAAAAUCAUGUGAAUAAGUUUUUGUUGUGGUUUUUGAAUCUCUAUUGCCCAAUUAGGGAUUUUGAAAUGGAAGAAUUACAGUGAGAAAUUUACAAGCGCAAUCGAGUUUUUAUUUUUGUUCUUCCCCCUUUUUUUUCUCUUUGUUGUAUAUAUUGUAAUUCCACGUUAUUUUUCACAUUCCUUUCCAAGAAAAUCAUAUACUUCUUCAUACAGAUAGUGAGUUUCCUAUCGCACACUUUCUUAGAAUAUAAAGCAAAGUUUUUGCUUCCCCAAAAAAUACAACUAGCUUUUCACAUUAAAUACAUUAAAAAAAUUAUAAAUAUUGUACAUAAAAUGCAUUUUUACUUUUCAAAUUACACUGUCCACAUCUGUAUUUGUGAGGCCUUGGCUUUAUGUUUUGGACUUUUGGACCUUUUUACAUCAUGUUCGUAUCUAUGUGGUAAAUAUAUACUAUUGAAAUGUGUGAAUUAUGGCUGAAGAUAGAGGUUGUCAGUGCUGUUCUUGAAAAGCAAGUAGGAUUUUUGUGAAGAAUCAGGGGAUAAGCAGUAGAGAUUUAUUUAUUUAUUUUUACUUUUUGUAAAGAGAGAUGAAGUUUUCGAGAAUCAGUUAAAACUUCGUGGAAUUCACAUACAAACACAAUUCCCACACUUUAUUUUACGGUGAUGCAGGCACUGUGCACAUAAAAAUAUUUUAAUUUUUUUAUAUUUAUAUAAAAUUAAUAUAUUAAUUCAAUUAUCAUACUUAUAAAUAUAAUAUAAAUUAUUUUUAAUUGAAUAUGGUUGAAUUAAAUAUUGAAAAAAUAAAAAAAUAAAAAAGAAUUCACAAUUAUAAAAUUUGAUAUUACGAAAAAAAAUAUAUAUGUUAAAAAAUAAAAAGAAAAAAGAAUUAAAAAAUAAUAAUUUGAAAUUGAUUUCAAAUUACAAGUUAUUUUUUAAUACAGUAUAUAAGUGGUGGGGUAUAGUUCAAAAAUAGGUAGGAAGUCAUCACACUAUAAUUUCUUAUUUUUAUUGGAGAAAUUGGGGAUCUCUUCGGUUCAAAUAUCAUCUAACAAUAAACAAAAACAACCCAUUAACACCAACAAGCAAAGAGAGGGAGAAAGAGAAGCCAUUAUUGGUGAUUUUUCAAACCUUUUAUUUGAGCCAGAUGAAUCGCCGAUGUUCCUGAUUUUAUCUUCAGUUAAUGAGAAGUCAUCUCCUCUCAUCCAUCAGGUCGGUGGUGAAGACGUCGAAUUUAAUAAGUUCACCGGAGUGAUCUUUCUGUAGAUCGGAAGGUGGAGUAGCUGCAGCCUGAGUCGGAAUGAGAGAUGAGGCGGCAGAGAAGAUGGAGAAGAAAGGGAG